UUGACCUCGGAUCAGGUAGGAAUACCCGCUGAACUUAAGCAUAUAUA
rnacentral:rRNA from 2 species